UAUUAAAAAUGAAGGAGUUCAGAGCCUUAGACGGCACUUGAGUUCAUCCAAUAGGAUCAGAACGUGAAUUGAAGGACCCUAUCCAACACAUAGAUUGAAAUACAUCACUGCCCCAACAAACUUUGCACUAGCCGGGAGCGCCAAAAAUCCAAAUUUUAUUCAAAAUUUUCCUUUUGGUUUUAGUUUUUUAUCUCCUUCUCAUAAACUGCUCUGCCCUCACAGAGAGCCCUUUUGGUUUCAGUUUACAGAGAGCCCUCACCCGAUCACUCACACUACUAUGCCUCCUACCUGUGGCCACCGCCAAACUUCUAGGUCGCACUCCUGCCAGCUUCCAACCUCGCAACUCAGGCGACCACCACCCUCUCUCGUGCUUCGUGGUCAUAGGUUACAAAGCCCUAACUCGCUCACACUACUCUGCCUCUGCCUGUGGCUGCCUCCGACCCUACGGUCUCAGACCUUGCACCCUUGCCAACCUCCGACCUUGCACCUCAGGCAACCUCCACCCUCGUAGUUCGCGCUCAUAGGUAACAGCUCUCACACCAACUCAUUUCUGCCUCCUGCAUGUGGCCGCCUCUAGAUCUCCGGUCUCGGACCUCGCACCCCCGCCAGCCUCCGACCCUUGCCACUUUGCGUCUUUAGUUGUUUUCUUGUUUCUUCACCCAUUGCAAAUACUGAAUCCGUCCCCACCUCAAAGCUGAGAGCUUGGUGCUACUUGGUGAUUCAUUCUUCCGUGAGAGAGAGAGUAUCAUAGAGCUAUUCAUUUUAGAAAUGGAGGAAAGUUGUGAACUCAUAAUCUAUUAUGUUGAUGAACAACAUAGCUACAAGCAAGCUUUGCAGUACAACAAGAUGGUCCCCAAACAGAAUAUGCAAGUGUCCCGUAGUUCAAUACCAUCAAACAGGUCGCCGUCUCCAAAUUCUUGCAAUGCAUCAGGAAUCAACGAGAAUAAGGACUCAUGUAGCAGAAGAAAAGAUUUAAUUAAAGUGAAACUGGAGGUUGGGGUUCCUUUUUGAUUGGAGGUAUUUUUUAUGAGAUAAUCUUUGAGCAUGAAAUGAAUGAAUGCAGUUUUUUGUCGCAAAAAUGCAAGUUAUUUAUAGAUCGGAUUGUCUUCUUGGAACAUGUUGUUUUGGAGCUGAAUAGGAGGAAAUAUAUAUGGUGAUUACUAUGGAGGUGUUGAUUGGUCAUAUACUAAUGUAUAAGCAUAAGUGGAAUGGAGAGGAGGGUGAUUUGCAAGAGUUAAGGAGACUAUAAAGAAGAGUUAGGUGUUUUUUAAUAUUUCAUAUAUGGUAGUUCAGUAGGUUCUGCAUUAUUUGUUUUAUGAUUGUAGUUUUAGCAUUUUGUUUUGAUCUUUUUAUUGAUGGUUGUCUGAAAACUUUGUUUUUAUGUUUCUGGUACUUUGUUUUGUGACUCACUCCCUUGUUGGGAUUGUUGAAAGUUUGUAGUGAUCGCAAAAAAAAAACUUAUCAUUCCUAAUAAACUACAAAUUUCAGACAUUGGUGAAA